rnacentral:lncRNA from 1 species
UCACUUCACUACAAAAGCUCCUUCUCUGGAAACUAAAACUUGCGUGGUUUUCUGGAAUGCUUGUGUGAUGGAGAUGGAGGCAGGAGGUGGCAAUUUAGGGUGCUCACUUGUGGUGCCCAUCCUGGCUGCCCUUUCUCCACUCCCUCCUUUGCUUAACUCUUACGCAAAAUAAUAGAUCAUGGGUGGUGGUUGGUCGGUGGCAAAGUGCUGGUGAGUGGAGUUAUGUUGGUGGAUCAAAUAAUGUGAUGGGAUGUGUGUGAGGUGUGGUGUAUGACAUGUGGGACCCAAGGAGUGUAGGUCAUGCUUCUAGAAGAUUGCUAUAAUUAAAUAUAAUGCAGGAAAAUCUAUG